AGACCGAGCUAGACGAUCGCUCUUCGGGCAACCGUGGAGAGGAAAGUCCGAACAUACGCGCAGCGGAUGCUUCCCUUCGGAAGCUCCCUGCGGAGGGUAGCGGGUAACGCCCGUCGUCCGCGAGGAUAGAGGUGCCCACAGAGACGCCCACGAGCGAAAGCAAGGGGCAUGCUGCUCUUGUAGCAGGAUGAGUUCUCCAGGUAACCGGAGAAGUGCAACGAACAAAUCCUUACCCGUAUGCAAGGCCGUGCUCCAUUUCGGUGGAGAGUGCCGCUCGAGCCCGCAAGCGAUUGCGAGCCCAGAUAAAUGAUCGCCCACGACAGAAUUCGGCUUAUCGGCUCGGUCUACAA
rnacentral:RNase_P_RNA from 1 species